CUUAGAUAUAUAUUCAUAGAACAAUGGUCACAUUUCAAUAGCAUAUUCGUGCGGGCACGCAGGCCCUGUCAACAUUGGAAUAUUGUGUCGGCCCUCAGGCUUCUUUUUCUCUCUCUGGUUUUAUUUUCUCUCUGGGUCCCAGUGUUCUGGCUGUAAUCCCGGGUCUCAUGGGUUGGUGUCCCGUCCUGUAAGUCUCUUUAUGGUCCGGGGAGUCU